CAUCAGUAUUCAAUUGUCAGAGGUGAAAUUCUUGGAUUUAUUGAAGACUAACUACUGCGAAAGCAUUUGCCAAGGAUGUUUUCAUUAAUCAGGAACGAAAGUUAGGGGAUCGAAGACGAUCAGAUACCGUCGUAGUCUUAACCAUAAACUAUGCCGACUAGGGAUCGGACGAUGUUACAUUUUUGACGCGUUCGGCACCUUACGAGAAAUCAAAGUGCUUGGGCUCCAGGGGGAGUAUGGUCGCAAGGCUGAAACUUAAAGAAAUUGACGGAAGGGCACCACCAGGGGUGGAGCCUGCGGCUUAAUUUGACUCAACACGGGGAAACUCACCAGGUCCAGACACAAUGAGGAUUGACAGAUUGAGAGCUCUUUCUUGAUUUUGUGGGUGGUGGUGCAUGGCCGUUCUUAGUUGGUGGAGUGAUUUGUCUGCUUAAUUGCGAUAACGAACGAGACCUUAACCUGCUAAAUAGCCCGUAUUGCUUUGGCAGUACGCCGGCUUCUUAGAGGGACUAUCGGCUCAAGCCGAUGGAAGUUUGAGGCAAUAACAGGUCUGUGAUGCCCUUAGAUGUUCUGGGCCCGCACGCGCGCUACACUUACGGAGCCAGCGAGUACUCCCUGGCC
rnacentral:rRNA from 1 species